rnacentral:rRNA from 1 species
GACAGAGGUCCCAAGCGUUAGGCGGAAUCACUGGGCUUAAAGCGUGUGUAGGCGGAUUUGUAAGUACGUUGUGAAAUCCCACGGCUCAACCGUGGAACUGCUUGGUAUACUGCUUAUCUUGGGUCAUCUAGGGGCCACCGGAAUAAGUGGUGGAGCGGUGAAAUGCGCAGAUAUCAGGAGGAACACCGAUGGCGAAGGCAGGUCUCUGGGCCGAAACUGACGCUGAGGCGCGAAAGCCAGGGGAGCAAACGGG